GGCUUCUGAAUCGGAAACUGUGGUUUGGGUAGUUGUUGAACUGGCUUCUGAAGUGGAAACUGUGGUUUAGGUUGUUGAACUGGCUUCUGAAGUGGAAACUGCUGGUUAGUUGGUUGUUGAACUGGCUUCUGAAGUGGAAACUGUGGUUUAGGUUGUUGUUGAACUGGCUUCUGAAGUGGAAACUGCUGGUAAGUUGGUUGUUGAACCGGCUUCUGAAGUGGAAACUGCUCGUAAGUUGGUUGUUGAACUGGCUUCUGAAGUGGAAACUGCUGGUAAGUUGGUUGUUGAACCGGCUUCUGAAGCGGAAACUGUGGUUUAGUUGGUUGUUGAACCGGCUUCUGAAGCGGAAACUGUGGUUUAGGUUGUUGUUGAACCGGCUUCUGAAGUGGAAACUGCUGGUAAGUUGGUUGUUGAACCGGCUUCUGAAGUGGAAACUGCUGGGUCAUCAGAGAUUGAACAUCCUGAAGCGAUUUACUCCAGUGUGGAACAGCAUGACAGAAAGCACAAACCAGCAAAAUCUGAACCGAACAC